GGGUAAAAAUUCGCGGCUCGUCCUUUUUCGGGUUAAAAAAUGGUUUUCGACUCGUAGCGAGGAAUUCAAUAUUGCUCGAUCAAUUGCUAAACCGAUUUCUUCCUGUUGAUUGAAUGCGACAGUGGAAAACGCGUAACCACGUCGCAAUAAAACCGCAGGUCUGUCGAUGCGCUGCAGCAGCACGCGGAGAAGAAGGUAGGUUAUCUCGGUUGUCUCACCGCUGGUUUGACCGCAGAUGAUGCUUUUUUCCGUGUUUCACCUGAAUUUAUUUGAUUAACACAAACGAAAACUUUUCUGAUGCUUCAUAAAGAAUUUCUUAGCAUUUUGCGAAUGUUCGUUGUAAAUGUAUGACUAAUAGAAGUUAUGCUCUCUGCUUUAGGUAUACGGACCACCGCCGUGGGUGCAUAUGAAACGACGGAGGGUAUUCCGGAUAAGCUGUAUAGUGUAAAAAACAUCUGAAUCAUUUCAGUUCAGUAAGUAUAUGACGGCAUUUUGUUGAGUUAAUUUAAAUAAAGCAUAUUAAAA